rnacentral:rRNA from 1 species
CAGCAGCCGCGGGAAUACGAAGGGGGCUAGCGUUGUUCGGAAUUACUGGGCGUAAAGCGCACGUAGGCGGAUAUUUAAGUCAGGGGUGAAAUCCCGCAGCUCAACUGCGGAACUGCCUUUGAUACUGGGUAUCUUGAGUAUGGAAGAGGUUAGUGGAAUUGCGAGUGUAGAGGUGAAAUUCGUAGAUAUUCGCAGGAACACCAGUGGCGAAGGCGGCUAACUGGUCCAUAACUGACGCUGAGGUGCGAAAGCGUGGGGAGCAAACAGGAUUAGAUACCCCCGUAGUCCAUGUCUCUUAUAA